AUUAGGGAAGAAGACACGUUGGAGCAUGAAGAAUUGGGAACUGGAACACAAAGUGCUGCCAGAUAUUUCAGAAGGAUGAUUCAUGUCAGGAGGAACAACAGCAGGCCCCCUCUGCAGCAGCAAUGCAAGAAUCCAGGACAAUUCCUGAUAAAGAACACUGUCCACUGCCUUGGAAGGAACUGAUGGAGUCUAAAUGCAGAUUGGAGCCUACUGUUUUUCACAGUAAGUGAUACGUGUCUUCUUUUACAACAGGAUGAACAUGGAAGUGUGUAUUGCAUGAUAUCACAUG
rnacentral:lncRNA from 1 species